rnacentral:misc_RNA from 1 species
GAAAUGCGAUAAGUAAUGUGAAUUGCAGAAUUCAGUGAAUCAUCGAAUCUUUGAACGCACCUUGCGCUCCUUGGUAUUCCGAGGAGCAUGCCUGUUUGAGUGUCAUGAAACCCUCAAACCCAAGUUUUGGAUUUCCGACUCAUCUUAAAAGUAUUAGCUGGAUCUGUCUAUAUGACUGGUUUGACUUGGCAUAAUAAGUAUUUUGCUGAGGACAUCUUCGGAUGGCCAGUACCUAGACUACUGUCUGCUAACUAAACCAUCACUUUAAGUGCAUCUUUGGAUGUUACUCAUUGUGUAACUUUGACAUCUGGCCUCAAAUCAAGUAGGACUACCCGCUGAACUUAA